rnacentral:rRNA from 1 species
UACGUAGGGGGCAAGCGUUGUCCGGAUUUAUUGGGCGUAAAGAGCGUGUAGGCGGUUAUGCAGGUCCGCUGUGAAAACUGGAGGCUUAACCUCCAGACGUCGGUGGAAACCGUAUGACUAGAGUCCGGAAGAGGAGAGUGGAAUUCCUGGUGUAGCGGUGAAAUGCGCAGAUAUCAGGAAGAACACCCGUGGCGAAGGCGGCUCACUGGCCCGGUACUGACGCUGAGGUGCGAAAGCGUGGGGAGCAAACAGG